rnacentral:rRNA from 1 species
CAGUAGCCGCGGUAAUACAGAGGGUGCAAGCGUUAAUCGGAAUUACUGGGCGUAAAGCGCGCGUAGGUGGUUCGCCAAGUUGGAUGUGAAAUCCCCGGGCUCAACCUGGGAACUGCAUCCAAAACUGGCGAGCUAGAGUAUGGUAGAGGGUGGUGGAAUUUCCUGUGUAGCGGUGAAAUGCGUAGAUAUAGGAAGGAACAUCAGUGGCGAAGGCGACCACCUGGACUGAUACUGACACUGAGGUGCGAAAGCGUGGGGAGCAAACAGGAUUAGAUACCCCCGUAGUCCCUGUCUCUUAUAA